rnacentral:lncRNA from 1 species
AUGAUAGUGAGGACGAUUCAUUGGUGGAAGGUGAUGAUGGUAGACUUCAUAGGGUUGUAAAUCGUUAUUAUGUAAAGAGGCAUUUGGAUUUCCAGUCUGGUUAUGGUCUAGACCAGAUAAAAAACUUGGAGAUUCGGUUUCUGGGAGAUCGCUUGUUGACUGAUGCGUAUUGACCUAAUAACCCCUUCUUUGUUGUGUUCAUCUUGGGUCAAUUUUGGGUUGGUUUGAGACUACCCCUGUCCACACUUGUCGGCGAACUCUUGAAUUCU